AAACAGUUAAACAAUAAAAAUUAACUAAAGUAAUAUAUUUGUAUGGAUGAAAAAAGUAUUCAAACCUUACAGACAUCAUUAUAGUGGCAUCACUAUAUGCAGGAAAAGUACGAGGCUUUUAAAGAGGAGAUAAAGACUUUCAGAAAAGAUAGGACAUUUUCCAGAGAUCACCCUUCUGUCAAUGAGGUGUAAUAGCGUUAGGCUAUUAUCACUAGUGCAUGGAGUUUAGUUAUGCAUUUGUCAUUUUGGCUUGAAGAUUGGACUGGACCAGCUUGACUAGAGGAAACAGAAUUCGUGGUUAUAAACCAUCUUCUAUCCUCUAACUCUAACUUAUCCAAUCUGGCUUGGUACACACGUUAUGCUUCUCUAGCAUGUUUGAUAGAGAAUUAUUAAACAUGAUAGGCAUAAUCUUCUUUGAGCUACUAGUGUUCUCAAUAAAUUACUAUCAUAUAUAUGGAAAUAAAAUCAAUCAAUACUGAUGUGGAUUUUCAACUUAGGUGCUAAUUCAGUGCCAUGAGAAACAAUUCAUUUAAGCAAUUUGUUUAAUUAAUCGUAUUUUUACAGGUGAUGCAAGAAACUAUCAUUGAUGAUGCAGAUAAUGUCAAAAUGCCUCUCCUUGUCUGUGUUUCUCGCGAGAAAAAGCCUUCUGAUCCCCACCAUUUCAAGGCUGGAGCAUUCAAUGUCCUUCUUCGUGCCUCUUCCGUGAUGAGUAAUUCUCCAUACAUUCUAGUUCUAGAUUGUGACAUGUUCUGUAAUGAUCCAACUUCAGCUUGAUAUGCAUGUGUUUUCACCUCGAUCCGAAGAUAUCAUCCUCAUUGGCUUUUGUCCAAUUUCCUCAGAAAUUUCACAGCAUUAGCAAGAAUGACAUCUAUGAUAGUCAACUGAGAUCACUAUUUACAGUAAGGACAUCAGAACAUGCCUUUAGAAUUUUUUCACGUCCCCCAUUGUAUAAGAUGGUGUAAUGUUUUCUUUGGUAUAACUAAAUUUGUUUGGACAAUUUCGGCUACAAUGGCAAGGUAUGGAUGGGCUUAUGGGACCAGUUAUUUCAGGUACAGGCUUUUAUAUAAAAAGGGUAUCACUGUUUGGAAACUUGCAAAGGUAUUAAACGCUAUUUUCUAUCUAGUUGCUUGCAAAUCACAAGAUUUCAAUGACAUUUACUAAUGAGCAUUUCCCUUAUGUUGAGUCAGGCUUACCAUAUAACUGUUCUAUGUUUUGAAUGUUAGGAACUGAUCUGCUGCAACUUAAAGAAUACUUUGGUUCAUCAAAUGAAUUCAUCAGAUCACUUGCACAAAACUGUACAAGUGAUUUGGUAUCUGGUCAGAAAUAUGCAUUGCUAGAAGAACCUCACUUUUUGGCUUCUUGUAACUAUGAAAUUGGCACUAAAUAGGGCCUAGAGGUUGGUUUCUCAUAUGGUAGUGUAGUAGAAUACUACCUCACUGGAUUUAUGUUGAAUUGUAAUGGAUGGACUUCAGUUUUCUGUGAACCAUCUAGGCCACAGUUCCUAGGUUCAGCUACAACAAAUUUGAAUGGUGUACUAAUCCAAGGCCCUAGGUGGUACAGUGGUUUGUUUGAAAAUGGUAUAAAUAGGUUUUGCCCCCUUACAUAUGGGCUCAGCAUCAAUCAAAGAUAUAUUUG